rnacentral:rRNA from 1 species
UACGUAGGUGGCGAGCGUUGUCCGGAUUUACUGGGCGUAAAGGGAGCGUAUGCGGACUUUAAGUGAGAUGUGAAAUACUCGGGCUCAACUUGAGUGCUGCAUUUCAAACUGGAAGUCUAGAGUGCAGGAGAGGAGAAUGGAAUUCCUAGUGUAGCGGUGAAAUGCGUAGAGAUUAGGAAGAACACCAGUGGCGAAGGCGAUUCUCUGGACUGUAACUGACGCUGAGGCUCGAAAGCGUGGGGAGCAAACAGG